rnacentral:lncRNA from 1 species
CUGGAGCUGACAGUAAUUAAUGAGCUCCAGCACAUAAUUAAUCAGCUGCUCGGUUUAUAAAUGAGGUGAGACUGUCAUUCACAGAGAGCAGAGAGCAAAACAUGUGCUGACCGCCGCUUGACCGUCGAUCUGUCCUUCUGAAACUCACACAAUAUUAGAUCUGUUCCUGAACCUAGCACUCCUGAUGCAAAGACUGUUUCUCAAAGAAUAGCUCAGUCUGUUUAAAAUGGACCGCUACAUCCAGUGCUCGUAUUUAUUUGAUGCUUAUUAGAGCUGCAUCGUAUGGAAGCCCGUUUCUAUAGAAGCUUUUUAUCUCAUAAUUCUGAUUUUUUUCAUGCAAUUGUGAGAUACAAACUCACACUACUCAGAAGAAAAAGAACUCAGAAUUGCGAGAUGUAAACUUUAUCACAAUUCUGACUUUUGUUCUCUAACUUGCCAGAAAAAACUCAGAAUUGUGAGAUAAAAGGUUACAUUUAUUAGUCCGUCGUGGAAAUGGACUUCCAUUAAUAUCAGACCUGUGUAAGUCAAGCCUUUCAUGAUGUGCAUCGUACGGAGCUGCUGCUUAUGAGGAGUGUUGAGGAGGUUCUGGAUAUGAUCCAGAUCUAGCGCUGGAGUUCAGGAUGCUGUUGUGUGACGCUCAGAUGCUGUGAUCCUCAGACUGUCACAGGGAAUGAUCUGGAGAGCUGUAAUGGAAAUGUGUUUUAAAUCUGAGUGUUGCACCUGCUGACCUGUUCUAAUGAACAAUCACUUCCUGUCAGAUCAAUCUCAGAGAAUGUAGUCCAGGGUCGUGUUCUGGUCAUCAUGGCAGCCGCUGGUUCAUUGGCUCACAGCCCGGUGCUGGUGAUGCUAACAGAUGUCUCCUCACCACGGUGGACGGGCGACAGAAUGACCCUUUACUGCGGGACAUCAGCAGACGCGGCCAGGAGUCAGGACCGCUGAGGAGCAGCCUACAUUCGUCUCCUUGAGCGUCCCGCGCUGGCUGUGAAUGCUGAGGACGUUUGCACCUUCAGGGUCCGCUAGCUCUGCGUCUCUCCAAACGCCACUGACACGCCACAUAUGAGCCGCUGGGCUUUUGGGACGUCGCCCACCUUUGAAUUACCUCUGUGCACAUGCAAAGAACACGCUUAGAGGAGCAGAAGUGUAGACUGCUGAACACGAGACUUGGAGCAAUCUGCCACUGAACCUCAGAGAGGAGAAGACUUUGACUGAUGAAGCUGCUCAUGUGCUUUGAGAUGAAGGAAGAUGGUCAGUGACGGUGUAUUUUUGUAAGUUCACAUCACUCUGGAUCCUUUAUCAAAAACACAGCAGGUUUUUCCAUUGGCUUUUGGAUUGUUGCAGAAAAUAAGCUCUGUGACCAACAAAAGUUUAUGAUUCUUACAUGUUUGGUUCAUCAUGAUAAUCACAAAUGAACAUGAAUUUUGAAGCCUAAAUCAGUCAGCAGAAGUAAAAAGCUAAACAUAGUCUAUAAACGAACCACACAUGACUUUAAUGUCACCAACAUGAAGCUUUGACAACUCUUACAGUCUUUAUUUAAAAACAGUUUGAGUUAGAACAGUUUGAUUUUAAAGACAAUGAGUGAGUAGAU